UGAGGAACAUGACCUUCGGCGGGGGAGUAGCCGGCCCAACGGCCGGGUAAUACCGCGUACGACCACAUGGGGACAUCCCUGAGUGGUGAAAGCAGCAAUGCGCCGAUGGAGUGCCUCGCGGCCUAUCAGCUAGUUGGUGAGGUAACGGCUCACCAAGGCGACGACGGGUAGCUGGUCUGAGAGGAUGGCCAGCCACAUUGGGACUGAGACACGGCCCAGACUCUACGGGAGG
rnacentral:rRNA from 1 species